AGAGGGUGGGCUUCUGUGGAUGAGGG
rnacentral:piRNA from 1 species